AUGGCUUUCCUGUGCCUGCUGUUUCUUUUGAAAACCUCAUCAAUGGCUGUGAUCCUGGAUUGACAGCAGCAGAGCAAAAAGACUGAAGUUUUGUGAAAGGAGUGGUCUAUCUUUUUAUGUCCUUUAAAGAAGGACGAAUUAAGAAUGAGUUGUGGAGUUUGCCACAUUAAGGCACAAGAAGUGCAUUGAGGACUAUAAAUAAGCCAUUCGGGGAACCAGGCAGAAACGCUGGAAGAAAGAGAUACUAAAGAAGUAGUUUCCCCAACAGAAACAGUGACCAUGUGGGAGCUCUCAUAAAGUUCCUCUGUACUCAAUGUGACAUUUCAGAGGUUCAGCAAGUUUAUUCUGCUGCAUAAAUACCAAGCUGGUGGCAAAAUAUUUAUAUGGCCCAUUUCUCACAUACCAGCUAAUCAUAAUCACAUUAUUUUUAGAUUGCUUUGACAAACUGCCUGACUAAACAGUGGUUUAAAAAAAUUAAAAACGCUGAAGAAAAAGGGCUAUAUUUGCCUUGUUGUCUCCACUUCAUUUUUCCAAAAAGUCUAGAUUGAAAGCUCCUACUGUAGUUUUCUGUUACCAAGCCAUCAAUAAUUUUUUUUCAGCUUACUAAGAAUUUGGA